ACAAGGUGAUGACCUAUGAAUUGACAGCCAGUUACUUCUAACACCUGCCUGUCAGUUCUGUAGGCCACUGCUGCGU
rfam:Oryzias latipes DNA, chromosome14, strain: Hd-rR.